rnacentral:rRNA from 1 species
AUUGAACGCUGGCGGCAUGCUUUACACAUGCAAGUCGGACGGCAGCACAGAGAAGCUUGCUUCUUGGGUGGCGAGUGGCGAACGGGUGAGUAACAUAUCGGAACGUACCGAGCAGUGGGGGAUAACUAAUCGAAAGAUUAGCUAAUACCGCAUAUAUUCUGAGGAAGAAAGCAGGGGACCAUUUGGCCUUGCGCUGUUUGAGCGGCCGAUAUCUGAUUAGCUAGUUGGUGGGGUAAAGGCCUACCAAGGCGACGAUCAGUAGCGGGUCUGAGAGGAUGAUCCGCCACACUGGGACUGAGACACGGCCCAGACUCCUACGGGAGGCAGCAGUGGGGAAUUUUGGACAAUGGGCGCAAGCCUGAUCCAGCCAUGCCGCGUGUCUGAAGAAGGCCUUCGGGUUGUAAAGGACUUUUGUCAGGGAAGAAAAGGGCGGGGUUAAUACCCCUGUCUGAUGACGGACCUGAAGAAUAAGC